rnacentral:rRNA from 1 species
GGGAUCCGUUUCCGUAGGUGAACCUGCGGAAGGAUCAUUGUUGUUUUAUAAAUAAUUUGUGUGGUGCAUGGAAUUGAUAAUUGUAUGUUGUAUUAUAUUAUUAUAAUACAAAUGAGAAAAUAUAAAAAAAAAUUACAAAGUAAUUAUAAUAAAAAAAAAAUAUAUAUAUAUAAUGUGAGUGAAUAAAAUAUAAAAUAACCAUUAACGGUGGAUCACUCGGCUCUGAGUUCGAUGAAGAACGCAGCUAAAUGCGAUAAUUGAUGCGAAUCGCAAGCUUAGUGAGUCAUCGAAAUUUUGAAUGCAAAUGGCGCUUUUGAUUAAUUUCAAAGGCAUGUCUAGUUGAGGGUUAAAAUUAUAUAAAAAUUAUAAUAAAUUUAUAAAAUUUUUAUAAAAAUAUUAUUAUAUUUGGUUGUGAAAUAAAUGUUUGUGAUUCUCAACUUAAAAGAUUAUUCGUUGAUUAUAUGUUUUAUGCAAUAUGCAAAAUUAACAAUAUAACAAUACAACUUAAUUUAACCUCAACUUAGGCAAGAUUACGCCGUGAACUAAAGCAUUUCAGUAACGGCAGGAAUAGAAAAUAACAAUGAUUCUCAUAGUAACUGCGAGUG